rnacentral:rRNA from 1 species
GACGAACGCUGGCGGCGUGCCUAACACAUGCAAGUCGAACGGAAGCAAAGAUUUCGGUUUUUGCUUUAGUGGCGAACGGGUGAGUAACGCGUGAGGAACCUGCCUUUCAGUGGGGGACAACAGUUGGAAACGACUGCUAAUACCGCAUAAUGCUUUUGAGUGGCAUCACUUAAAAGUCAAAGAUUUAUUGCUGAAAGAUGGCCUCGCGUCUGAUUAGCUAGUUGGCGGGGUAACGGCCCACCAAGGCGACGAUCAGUAGCCGGUCUGAGAGGAUGAACGGCCACAUUGGGACUGAGAUACGGCCCAGACUCCUACGGGAGGCAGCAGUGGGGAAUAUUGGGCAAUGGGGGAAACCCUGACCCAGCAACGCCGCGUGAAGGAAGAAGG